UCUGGUUGAUCCUGCCUGAACUGAUGUGUUCAUUUCAAAGAUUAAGCCAUGCAUGUAUAAGUUUAAUCGUUUUAACGAGAAACCGCGAACGGCUCAUUACAAUGGCCAUGAUUUACUUGAUCUUGAUUAUCUAAAUGGAUAACUGUGGAAAAGCUAGAGCUAAUACAUGCACCAAAGCUUUGUCCUCUCGGAAAAGCGCAUUUAUUAGAACAAAACCACGCGGCUUCGGCUGCUUCUUGUUGACUCAGAAUAACUAAGCUGACCGCAUGGCCUUGUGCCGGCGGCGUGUCUUUCAAGCGUCCACUUUAUCAACUUGACGGGAGCAUAAUCGACUCCCGUGGUGGUGACGGAUAACGGAGGAUUAGGGUUCGACUCCGGAGAAGGGGCCUGAGAAAUGGCCACUACGUCUAAGGAUGGCAGCAGGCGCGCAAAUUACCCACUCUCGGCUCGAGGAGGUAGUGACGAGAAAUAACGAGAUCGUUCUCUUUGAGGCCGGUCAUCGGAAUGGGUACAAUUUAAACCCUUUAACGAGUAUCAAGCAGAGGGCAAGUCUGGUGCCAGCAGCCGCGGUAAUUCCAGCUCUGCUAAUACAUAGAAUUAUUGCUGCGGUUAAAAAGCUCGUAGUUGGAUUCGUAUCGGUACCCUGGAACCCUCCGGGUGUUUCUGGGUGUUAUCGAUUUAUCGUAAUGUUCGGUUUUGAGUCCUUAACAGGAUUCUUAACAGGCAUUGCAAGUUUACUUUGAACAAAUCAGAGUGCUUCAAACAGGCGUUUUCGCUUGAAUGAUCGUGCAUGGAAUAAUAGAAAACGAUUUCGGUUCAGUUUUAUUGGUUUUACGGACUGAGAUAAUGGUUAACAGAGACAAACGGGGCAUUUGUAUGGCCCCGUGAGAGGUGAAAUUCUUGGACCGUGGCCAGACAAACUACAGCGAAAGCAUUUGCCAAGAAUGUCUUCAUUAAUCAAGAACGAAAGUCAGAGGUUCGAAGGCGAUCAGAUACCGCCCUAGUUCUGACCGUAAACGAUGCCAACUAGCGAUCCGCCGAUGGAAAUUAUAUUGCCUUGGUGGGGAGCUUCCCGGAAACGAAAGUCUUCCGGUUCCGGGGGAAGUAUGGUUGCAAAGCUGAAACUUAAAGGAAUUGACGGAAGGGCACCACCAGGAGUGGAGCCUGCGGCUUAAUUUGACUCAACACGGGGAAACUCACCCGGCCCGGACACUGUGAGGAUUGACAGAUUGAUAGCUUUUUCAUGAUUCAGUGGAUGGUGGUGCAUGGCCGUUCUUAGUUCGUGGAGUGAUUUGUCUGGUUUAUUCCGAUAACGAGCGAGACUCUAACCUACUAAAUAGCUGGUACAUAAUUUACGUGUAUACAGCUUCUUAGAGGGAUUUGCGGUGUUCAGCCGAAAGAAAUUGAGCAAUAACAGGUCUGUGAUGCCCUUAGAUGUCCGGGGCUGCACGCGCGCUACACUGGCAAAAUCAACGUGCUUGUCCUACCCCGAAAGGGGCGGGUAAACCAUUGAAAAUUUGCCGUGAUUGGGAUCGGAAAUUGCAAUUAUUUUCCGUGAACGAGGAAUUCCAAGUAAGUGCGAGUCAUCAGCUCGCGUUGAUUACGUCCCUGCCCUUUGUACACACCGCCCGUCGCUGCCCGGGACUGAGCCAUUUCGAGAAAUUUGGGGACCGUUGAUUUAAUUUUCUAAAUUACUUUGAUGGAAACCAAUUAAUCGCAGUGGCUUGAACCGGGCAAAAGUCGUAACAAGGUAGCUGUAGGUGAACCUGCUGCUG
rnacentral:rRNA from 1 species